ensembl:snoRNA
CUGCUACCUCUUUUUGUGGCCGUGGGGCUCAGGCUGCAGCACCACAGCACUGUGUGCGUAUAACUGGGGCCACCUGCCCCCUCCAAGUGUGGGCCUUUUAACCUCUAUCGACAGGU